rnacentral:rRNA from 1 species
CCUACGGGAGGCAGCAGUAGGGAAUAUUGGUCAAUGGAUGGAAGUCUGAACCAGCCAUGCCGCGUGCAGGAAGAAGGCCUUCUGGGUUGUAAACUGCUUUUGCCAGGGGAUAAAAAGACCGUGCGCGGUUAAUUGAAGGUACCUGGUGAAUAAGCCACGGCUAACUACGUGCCAGCAGCCGCGGUAAUACGUAGGUGGCAAGCGUUGUCCGGAUUUAUUGGGUUUAAAGGGUGCGUAGGCGGCCCUGUAAGUCAGUGGUGAAAUAUCUCAGCUUAACUGAGAGGGUGCCAUUGAUACUGCAGGGCUUGAGUACAGAUGAGGUAGGCGGAAUUGACGGUGUAGCGGUGAAAUGCAUAGAUAUCGUCAAGAACACCGAUAGCGAAGGCAGCUUACUAAGCUGUAACUGACGCUGAGGCACGAAAGUGUGGGGAUCAAACAGGAUUAGAUACCCUGGUAGUCCACACUGUAAACGUUGAUGACUAGAUGUUGGCGAUACACAGCCAGCGUCCAAGAGCAAUCGUUAAGUCAUCCACCUGGGGAGUACGCCGGCAACGGUGAAACUCAAAUGAAUUGACGG